rnacentral:rRNA from 1 species
AGUGAACGCUGGCGGCGUGCUUAACACAUGCAAGUCGAACGAGAACGGGUUAUAGCUUGCUAUAAUUGUCAGCUAAGUGGCGCACGGGUGAGUAAUGUAUAGGUAACAUGCCUCUUACUAAGGGAUAACAAAUGGAAACGUUUGCUAAUACCUUAUACUCCUUAUUAACAGAAGUUAAUAAGGGAAAGAUUUAUUGGUAAGAGAUUAGCCUGUAUUGUAUCAGUUAGUUGGUGGUGUAAUGGCUUACCAAGACUAUGACACAUAACUGGUUUGAGAGGAUGAUCAGUCACACUGGAACUGAGACACGGUCCAGACUCCUACGGGAGGCAGCAGUGGGGAAUAUUGCACAAUGGACGGAAGUCUGAUGCAGCAACGCCGCGUGGAGGAUGACACAUUUCGGUGCGUAAACUCCUUUUAUAUGAGAAGAUAAUGACGGUAUUAUAUGAAUAAGCACCGGCUAACUCCGUGCCAGCCGCCGCGGUAA